rnacentral:misc_RNA from 2 species
AACGCACCUUGCGCUCCAUGGUAUUCCGUGGAGCAUGCCUGUUUGAGUGUCAUGAAAACAAUCAACCUUGGUUUUGGGGCAACCCUCGAUCUCGGCUUGGACUUGGGCGUUUGCCAUCUUCACGGGUGGCUCGCCUCAAAUGAAUUAGCUGGACCUGUUUGUGAGGAAUGGUUCUACUCGGCGUAAUAAGUAUUUCGCUGAGGACAUGGCUUCGGCUGUGGCCUUCCUCUCGACGAUCGUCUGCUUUCAAACCCUGUUCUCCUCGGAGACGCAUUUUUUAUGAUCUGGCCUCAAAUCAGGUAGGACUACCCGCUGAACUUAA